UACGUAGGGGGCAAGCGUUGUCCGGAUUUAUUGGGCGUAAAGAGCGUGUAGGCGGCUUUACAGGUCCGUUGUGAAAACUCGAGCUCAACCUCGAGACGCCGGUGGAAACCAUCAGACUAGAGUCCGGAAGAGGAGAGUGGAAUUCCUGGUGUAGCGGUGAAAUGCGCAGAUAUCAGGAGGAACACCGAUGGCGAAGGCAGGUCUCUGGGCAUUAACUGACGCUGAGGAGCGAAAGCAUGGGGAGCGAACAGG
rnacentral:rRNA from 1 species